rnacentral:rRNA from 1 species
GUAGGGAAUCUUGCGCAAUGGGCGAAAGCCUGACGCAGCCAUGCCGCGUGAAUGAUGAAGGUCUUAGGAUUGUAAAAUUCUUUCACCGGGGACGAUAAUGACGGUACCCGGAGAAGAAGCUCCGGCUAACUUCGUGCCAGCAGCCGCGGUAAUACGAAGGGGGCUAGCGUUGCUCGGAAUUACUGGGCGUAAAGGGCGCGUAGGCGGAUAUUUAAGUCGGGGGUGAAAGCCCGGGGCUCAACCUCGGAAUAGCCUUCGAUACUGGAUAUCUUGAGUACGGGAGAGGUGUGUGGAACUCCGAGUGUAGAGGUGAAAUUCGUAGAUAUUCGGAAGAACACCAGUGGCGAAGGCGACACACUGGCCCGUUACUGACGCUGAGGCGCGAAAGCGUGGGGAGCAAACAGGAUUAGAAACCCCUGUAGUCC